AGCAGUAGCCCGGGAAAACGGAGGGUGCAAGCGUUAUCCGGAUUUAUUGGGUUUAAAGGGUCCGUAGGCGGAUCUGUAAGUCAGUGGUGAAAUCUCACAGCUUAACUGUGAAACUGCCAUUGAUACUGCAGGUCUUGAGUAAAUUUGAAGUGGCUGGAAUAAGUAGUGUAGCGGUGAAAUGCAUAGAUAUUACUUAGAACACCAAUUGCGAAGGCAGGUCACUAAGAUUUAACUGACGCUGAUGGACGAAAGCGUGGGGAGCGAACAGGAUUAGAUACCCGUGUAGUCCCUGUCUCUUAUACA
rnacentral:rRNA from 1 species